rnacentral:tRNA from 1 species
GCCCCUGUAGCUCAGUUGGUAGAGCAGCGGACUUUUAAUCCGAAGCGCGCAGGUUCGAGCCCUGCCGGGGGCA